CAGGUUGGACAUGCAAGUAGUAAGAACCUGAAAGGGGGAUGAGCCCGCAAGGGCAGCUUGCUCAGGUGCUGCAUGGCUGUCGUCAGCUCGUGCCGUGAGGUGUUGGGUUAAGUCCCGCAACGAGCGUAACCCCUGUCUUCAGUUGCCAUCGGGUCAUGCCGGGCACUCUGGAGAGACUGCCCAGGAUAACGGGGAGGAAGGUGGGGAUGACGUCAAGUCAUCAUGGCCUCUAUGUCCAGGGCUACACACGUGCUACAAUGGGCGGCACAAAGGGCUGCGAUACCGCGAGGUGGAGCCAAUCCCAAAAAGCCGUCCCCAGUUCGGAUUGCAGUCUGCAACUCGACUGCAUGAAGGUGGAAUCGCUA
rnacentral:rRNA from 1 species